UACGUAGGUGGCAAGCGUUGUCCGGAAUUAUUGGGCGUAAAGCGCGCGCAGGCGGUCCUUUAAGUCUGAUGUGAAAGCCCACGGCUCAACCGUGGAGGGUCAUUGGAAACUGGGGGACUUGAGUGCAGAAGAGGAGAGUGGAAUUCCACGUGUAGCGGUGAAAUGCGUAGAGAUGUGGAGGAACACCAGUGGCGAAGGCGACUCUCUGGUCUGUAAAUGACGCUGAGGCGCGAAAGCGUGGGGAGCAAACAGG
rnacentral:rRNA from 1 species